AGUGAACGCUGGCGGUAGGCCUAACACAUGCAAGUCGAACGGCAGCACAGUAAGAGCUUGCUCUUACGGGUGGCGAGUGGCGGACGGGUGAGGAAUACAUCGGAAUCUACUUUUUCGUGGGGGAUAACGUAGGGAAACUUACGCUAAUACCGCAUACGACCUACGGGUGAAAGCAGGGGAUCUUCGGACCUUGCGCGAUUGAAUGAGCCGAUGUCGGAUUAGCUAGUUGGCGGGGUAAAGGCCCACCAAGGCGACGAUCCGUAGCUGGUCUGAGAGGAUGAUCAGCCACACUGGAACUGAGACACGGUCCAGACUCCUACGGGAGGCAGCAGUGGGAAAUAUUGGACAAUGGGCGCAAGCCUGAUCCAGCCAUACCGCGUGGGUGAGGAAGGCCUUCGGGUUGUAAAGCCCUUUUGUUGGGAAAGAAAAGCAGCAGGUUAAUACCCCGCUGUUCUGACGGUACCCAAAGAAUAAGCACCGGCUAACUUCGUG
rnacentral:rRNA from 1 species